UGUGACUCCUAGGGAGGCAGCAGUGGGGAAUAUUGCACAAUGGGCGCAAGCCUGAUGCAGCCAUGCCGCGUGUGUGAAGAAGGCCUUCGGGUUGUAAAGCACUUUCAGUUGUGAGGAAGGUGGUGUCGUUAAUAGCGGCAUCAUUUGACGUUAGCAACAGAAGAAGCACCGGCUAACUCCGUGCCAGCAGCCGCGGUAAUACGGAGGGUGCGAGCGUUAAUCGGAAUUACUGGGCGUAAAGCGCAUGCAGGUGGUUUGUUUAAGUCAGAUGUGAAAGCCCGGGGCUCAACCUCGGAACUGCAUUUGAAACUGGCAGACUAGAGUACUGUAGAGGGGGGUAGAAUUUCAGGUGUAGCGGUGAAAUGCGUAGAGAUCUGAAGGAAUACCGGUGGCGAAGGCGGCCCCCUGGACAGAUACUGACACUCAGAUGCGAAAGCGUGGGGAGCAAACAGGAUUAGAUACCCUGGUAG
rnacentral:rRNA from 1 species